GCAUUCAGUCCUGAGGCACUGGAGAGCCCUCUUGCUCUCUGUGGGUAUACAAGACGGCAGCCACUGUGUCUGCACACAGAGUGGACAUCACAGCGUGAGUGGAGUUUAAACAAGACUCGGGAAGCCCUUGAAGGACAAAUGUCUGCGUUUAGAGGACAUUCACUCUCCGCGUCUCCUUCCAGCACAAGGAAGGAAUAAGAAUCGGUGGCUACAGGCCCAAGAUAUUUCAGUGUGUAUCUAUUCUCAUUGCUGUUACCUGAAAUGUGGAAAUUUUCAAGAAAUCACUUGACAGAGAACUGAUGCCUCAAUU